GAGGAAUAUUGGUCAAUGGGUGCAAGCCUGAACCAGCCAUCCCGCGUGAAGGACGACUGCCCUAUGGGUUGUAAACUUCUUUUGUAUAGGGAUAAACCUACCCUCGUGAGGGUAGCUGAAGGUACUAUACGAAUAAGCACCGGCUAACUCCGUGCCAGCAGCCGCGGUAAUACGGAGGGUGCAAGCGUUAUCCGGAUUUAUUGGGUUUAAAGGGUCCGUAGGCGGACUUAUAAGUCAGGGGUGAAAGCCUGUCGCUUAACGAUAUAACUGCCAUUGAUACUGUAAGUCUUGAGUAUAUUUGAGGUAGCUGGAAUAAGUAGUGUAGCGGUGACAUGCAUAGAUAUUACUUAGAACACCAAUUGCGAAGGCAGGUUACCAAGAUAUAACUGACGCUGAGGGACGAAAGCGUGGGGAGCGAACA
rnacentral:rRNA from 1 species